AACGUACGCUGGCGGCACGCCUAACACAUGCAAGUCGAACGAAGUAGCAAUACUUAGUGGCAGACGGGUGAGUAACAUGUAGGUAUCUGCCCUUUGGCCUGGAAUAACACGAGGAAACUUGUGCUAAUACCGGAUAAGUCUUUACGGAGAAAGCUUUAUGCACCAUUGGAUGAGCCUGCACUUGAUUAGUUUGUUGGUGGGGUAAUGGCCUACCAAGACUGUGAUCAAUAGCUGAUUUGAGAGGAUGAUCAGCCACAUUGGGACUGAGACACGGCCCAAACUCCUACGGGAGGCAGCAGUGGGGAAUCUUGCACAAUGGAGGAAACUCUGAUGCAGCGAUGCCGCGUGAGUGAAGAAGGCCCUUGGGUUGUAAAGCUCUUUCGUCGGGGAAGAAAAUGACUGUACCCGAAUAAGAAGGUCCGGCUAACUUCG
rnacentral:rRNA from 1 species